rnacentral:rRNA from 1 species
UACGGAGGGUGCAAGCGUUGUUCGGAUUUAUUGGGCGUAAAGCGCGUGUAGGCGGUCUCUUAAGUCUGAUGUGAAAGCCCUGGGCUCAACCCAGGAAGUGCAUUGGAUACUGGGGGACUUGAAUACGGGAGAGGGUAGUGGAAUUCCUAGUGUAGGAGUGAAAUCCGUAGAUAUUAGGAGGAACACCGGUGGCGAAGGCGGCUCGCUGGACCGGUUCUGACGCUGAUGCGCGAAAGCGUGGGGAGCAAACGGG